UUAUCCUACGGGGGGCAGCAGUGAGGAAUAUUGGUCAAUGGGCUUACGCCUGAACCAGCCAAGUCGCGUGAGGGAAGACUGCCCUAUGGGUUGUAAACCUCUUUUGUCAGGGAGCAACGCCGGCUACGUGUAGCCGGACUGAGAGUACCUGAAGAAAAAGCAUCGGCUAACUCCGUGCCAGCAGCCGCGGUAAUACGUAGGUGGCAAGCGUUGUCCGGAUUUAUUGGGCGUAAAGCGAGUGCAGGCGGUUCCAUAAGUCUGAUGUGAAAGC
rnacentral:rRNA from 1 species